GUGCUUUUUGUAUCACUGCCACCAUUUAGUGGGGACAUCUUUACUUCCCAGUGGUCACUGCAAUUUUGUAAAUUUUUAAGAUUCAUUAGAAGUCCACCAUCACCUCAAGUUUGGGUGCCUGAUGACUCUUUCCUUUAUAACCAGAUGUUAGGGGAGCAUUUUCUACAAAGGAAAAGGAGCAAGCGAACAAAGUAAGCUGCUGCCAAGUACACCAUGCAGUGAGAUGGUUGUCACGGAUCUUAGAGGAGACGAAGGACAGCCACCCCUUCAACGGCGAAUGUUUCGGAUAGUGGACUUCACAGUCCAGACAGCCCUCUAGACCCCAAGUACAGCAAAGGAACCUUUUCUUUUCCUCCAUGGAAUGAUAAACUCCAGCCCCCCUGGAUGGCAGGAAGCUGCAUCCAGGUCAGCAUCGUGAUUCCAGGCAUUCCUGGGGUCAGUUCAGGAUGUACAGCUUACAGUGCGCCGGGUGCAGCCCAGAGUGCCAGGGUGGGACUUUGUGCCUCUCCUCCUGGUUCUCCUAAACUGCUGGGCUUUGGGAGCAGUCCAUGAGUGAGUGAUGAUCUGCAGGGACCCGCGUGGGUGAGGAGGGAGCACCCACUGCUUUGGCU
ensembl:lncRNA